CCUACGGGAGGCAGCAGUGGGGAAUUUUGGACAAUGGGGGCAACCCUGAUCCAGCCAUUCCGCGUGAGUGAAGAAGGCCUUCGGGUUGUAAAGCUCUUUUGUCCGGAGCGAAACGGUUGCGGUGAAUAUCCGCGACUACUGACGGUACCGGAAGAAUAAGCACCGGCUAACUACGUGCCAGCAGCCGCGGUAAU
rnacentral:rRNA from 1 species